CCUACGGGAGGCAGCAGUGGGGAAUUUUGGACAAUGGACGCAAGUCUGAUCCAGCCAUGCCGCGUGUGGGAAGAAGGCCUUCGGGUUGUAAACCACUUUUGUCAGGGAAGAAACGGUCUAGGUUAAUACCUUGGGCUAAUGACGGUACCUGAAGAAUAAGCACCGGCUAACUACGUGCCAGCAGCCGCGGUAAUACGUAGGGUGCAAGCGUUAAUCGGAAUUACUGGGCGUAAAGCGUGCGCAGGCGGUUAUGCAAGACAGAUGUGAAAUCCCCGGGCUCAACCUGGGAACUGCAUUUGUGACUGCAUGGCUAGAGUACGGUAGAGGGGGAUGGAAUUCCGCGUGUAGCAGUGAAAUGCGUAGAUAUGCGGAGGAACACCGAUGGCGAAGGCAAUCCCCUGGACCUGUACUGACGCUCAUGCACGAAAGCGUGGGGAGCAAACAGGAUUAGAUACCCUGGUAGUCCACGCCCUAAACGAUGUCAACUGGUUGUUGGGAGGGUUUCUUCUCAGUAACGUAGCUAACGCGUGAAGUUGACCGCCUGGGGNGGACGCGCGAGUAGAGANAAGAGUAGNGNGNGNGAGNGCGAGACGACGACGAGGAGAGG
rnacentral:rRNA from 1 species